CUGCUAUCGAAUAUACUUACCAAAGUAGCCUUUUUGGAUUAGGAUCUCGAUCUCGUCUUUGACCUGGAGGCAUUCCUCGGUAUUGUGACCAUGGUCACGAUGAAAGUGACAGUACUUUCUAUUAGUCCUCUUGUCUAGAGGGGCCUUCAUUGGUUCAUGCUUUCAAAUAUACUUAUGGUCCUUGAUCUCCAUUAGGACUUGGGCCCGAGGAGUGGAUAGAGAGGUAUGGCUAUUGAAUC
rnacentral:lncRNA from 1 species